AUUGAACGCUGGCGGCAUGCUUUACACAUGCAAGUCGAACGGCAGCAUGACCUAGCUUGCUAGGUUGAUGGCGAGUGGCGAACGGGUGAGUAAUGCACCGGAACGUAUCCAAUAAUGGGGGAUAACGCACCGAAAGGUGUGCUAAUACCGCAUACGCCCUGAGGGGAAAAGCGGGGGACUCGCCAGGGCCUCGCGUUAAUGGAGCGGCCGGUGCCGGAUUAGCUAGUUGGUGGGGUAAAGGCCCACCAAGGCGACGAUCCGUAGCUGGUCUGAGAGGACGACCAGCCACACUGGGACUGAGACACGGCCCAGACUCCUACGGGAGGCAGCAGUGGGGAAUUUUGGACAAUGGGGGCAACCCUGAUCCAGCCAUGUCGCGUGAGUGAAGAAGGCCUUCGGGUUGUAAAGCUCUUUCGCAAGGAAAGAAAACUUAUCUCCUAAUACGAGAUGAGGCUGACGGUACCUUGAUAAGAAGCACCGGCUAACUACGUGCCAGCAGCCGCAGUAA
rnacentral:rRNA from 1 species